ACGGAGCAGCAAUGCUUAGUGGCGACCGGGUGAGUAACACGUAGCUAACCUACCCCUCGGCGGGGGAUAACAGUUCGAAAGAGCUGCUAAUACCGCAUGAUUUUGCGUUGAAGAGAUAGACGCAAAUAAACUUCAGGGGUCGAGGGAGGGGGCUGCGGCCCAUCAGGUAGUUGGUGAGGUAACGGCUCACCAAGCCGACGACGGGUAGGGGGCCUGAGAGGGUGAACCCCCACACUGGAACAGACAUACGGUCCAGACUCCUACGGGAGGCAGCAGUAAGGGAUAUUGCGCAAUGGGCGAAAGCCUGACGCAGCAACGCCGCGUGGAGGACGAAGGCCUUCGGGUCGUAAACUCCUUUUCACGAGGACGAGGAAGGACGGUACUCGUGGAAUAAGCCUCGGCUAACUACGUGCCAGCAGCCGCGGUAAUACGUAGGAGGCGAGCGUUAUCCGGAUUUACUGGGCUUAAAGGGUGUGCAGGCGGGUAUUUAA
rnacentral:rRNA from 1 species